rnacentral:rRNA from 1 species
AUUGAACGCUGGCGGCAGGCCUAACACAUGCAAGUCGAACGGUAACAGGAAGCAGCUUGCUGCUUUGCUGACGAGUGGCGGACGGGUGAGUAAUGUCUGGGAAACUGCCUGAUGGAGGGGGAUAACUACUGGAAACGGUAGCUAAUACCGCAUAACGUCGCAAGACCAAAGUGGGGGACCUUCGGGCCUCAUGCCAUCAGAUGUGCCCAGAUGGGAUUAGCUAGUAGGUGGGGUAACGGCUCACCUAGGCGACGAUCCCUAGCUGGUCUGAGAGGAUGACCAGCCACACUGGAACUGAGACACGGUCCAGACUCCUACGGGAGGCAGCAGUGGGGAAUAUUGCACAAUGGGCGCAAGCCUGAUGCAGCCAUGCCGCGUGUAUGAAGAAGGCCUUCGGGUUGUAAAGUACUUUCAGCGAGGAGGAAGGGGUUAAGGUUAAUAACCUUGGYCAUUGACGUUACUCGCAGAAGAAGCACCGGCUAACUCC